rnacentral:lncRNA from 1 species
UCGCACCUUGACAUAAGGUAGUCACAUAUACCGCUGCUCUACGUGUUUAAACUUCUGGUAAGAUCUUAGCUCUUUAGCAAAGACUAUAAUGCCAUUAUCAUUGCAGUACUGUGUCAUGGCAUCUAAUGGCAUAACAUUCAGUUCUAUAACUAAUAUUAGAAUCAAAAUUUAUCCUACACAUCUACAGCAUACUCAGCCUCCAUUGUUCGAUCACUCAGAACCUUUCUGAUAUAUCGAACAAGAAUACACCCUUGAAUCACAACUCAGAAUCUCCUCCAA